CAAUAGCGUAUAUUUAAGUUGCUGCAGUUAAAAAGCUCGUAGUUGGAUUUCGGGUGGGAAUGGCCGGUCCGCCGUUUCGGUGUGCACUUGCUACGCCCACCUUGCUGCCGGGGACGUGCUCUUGAGUUCACGCUCGGGACACGGAGUCGGCGAGGUUACUUUGAGUAAAUUAGAGUGUUCAAAGCAGGCCUACGCCCUGAAUACAUUAGCAUGGAAUAACACGAUAGGACUCUGGCCUAUCUUGUUGGUCUGUAGGACCGGAGUAAUGAUUAAGAGGGACAGUCGGGGGCAUUCGUAUUUCAUUGUCAGAGGUGGAAUUCUUGGAUUUAUGAAAGACGAACUACUGCGAAAGCAUUUGCCAAGGAUGUUUUCAUUAA
rnacentral:rRNA from 1 species